rnacentral:rRNA from 1 species
AUGGAGUUCAAGCCGAAGGCGACCGUGUGCGCGGUGAUGCUGGUGCUGCUCCUGCUUUCCUCCUACGACGGCGCCGGAGUCGGCGUGGCGGAGGCGCGCAUUUGCACGGGGAAGAGCCAGCACCACUCGUUCGCGUGCAUCUCGGACAAGAGCUGCACCAAGACGUGCCUCAGCGAGCACGGCGCAAAAUGGACGGCCGGCUACUGCAAGAUCAGCCGCUGCACCUGCCAGAGGGAGUGCUAG